rnacentral:lncRNA from 1 species
CCUCAGUCCUCCCCCUUGAGUUGGCGACUCUAAUCCUGGGGCGGGGGGCAGUGGGCGACGACUGCUCUGACUGCUUCCUGCUGACGAGGGGCAUCGUCAGGGGAAAGCAGUUAGGUCUCCACUCAUGGGACGGUCGAGUGGGCUUCAGGGCAUUGCACUGGGCACCCCUUCUAUCACCAUCUGAAGGCUGAUAGCUUCUAAUCGGGACGUAAUGAAGCGAGAAAUACAGUUAAUUAUACAGGGUCCGAAUGAAAGGAUCGUGGGCACAUGAAGAUUGUGGGGAGCAAGUGUUUCCACCAGGAGGAGGGGUCAGCCCGUUCCAGAGGCAGCUCCAAACGCCGGAGCUGGGUGGGACAGUUUAUGAAUCUGCUGCUGGAGAUCUAGCCGGGCAUCAGACACAUUGUCUGAAUAAUCAGGAAUAUAGACACAAUAUUCGGAUUUUAUCAUAGCACAGCUACCUCCUUGAGCUGCAGUGAGUAUAUCUAAGGCCAUUCGGUUUUGUAGCACUACUUCUCUUAUUUGUUGUUGUUCCAUAUUUAGGGUAGAAAUAGCUUCUGCAGUAUCAUUAAGAGCUUGUGGAGUAAAAUCAGUUAAGGCUUCCACCUGCAGCAUUAGGUCAGUGGUUCCUAGUGAAGGCGUGAAUGUCGUUGCUGAGGGCUCACACCCGUGGAACGCUGAUCUGGUCCAUUUAGCAGGUAAAGGGAGGGUCGGCUGGCGUUUGGCUCAGAGUUUUCAUAGGGUUGCCAUGAGCAAAAGCCAGUCCCAGAGCAGCGCCCUACCCAUCCUGGGGCAGCCACGGCCCCAGAUUAGUUCCACACAUCCAGUAAGUUCGUUCGGGGCUAGCAGUGUACUCGCCAGGAUUAGAUUCCCAGUCCGUUCCGGGCCACCUGGGAGUCUUGUCGGGAUUGUGUGUGACCUGGAUGAUUUGUAAACAAUGCUCUGUUGCUAAAUAGCCUAAAGCUUUUAGCUCAGUCGAGGAUGGGGGUCGUCCCCCAAUCAGACGUAGGGUUUAUUUUGCUCCCAGCAAAUAGAUGCGGGCUGGGUUAAAUAAUAAAAGGAGUGAUGCGCAUACAUUGAUCCCAUAUUUGAUGCACUUGAUUAAAAUAUCUAACCUGUAUGAUUUUUCGGAUGUCUCUGCUGGCCGUGCAGUGUUUGUAGGCCGUUUCCUUGGUCCGUGUGUAACUGAAAGUUACCCGAGGUUGUUCUCCAGCGUCCGCCCGGAGCAGAAUGUCGGCCACGGACGGAAUACCGUAAGCAGUUCGCCAACUCUCUGGCUACCGCCUGUGCGAGUGAAGGAGGCAGCUCCAAAUCCCCGAGGCAAAACAGUCCGAGUUAUGUUUCCUUGCCAAAAGCACUAUCCUCUGAGACCCGAGGCAUGGCGGGGACUUAUCCCAAUUAUAAGAACCCUAGAAGAACAGCGACUGUUCAUCGGAUGCAGCAGCCCCUGUACCAGGCGUGCAAAAGCCUGACGGGGUCGGCGCCUCGUGCAAGACCUACAGCUGGUAAAUGAGGCACUGGCCCCGUCACAUCCGGGUGCCCAACCCUGCACCCUCCUCUCACAGAUGCAGGCUGGGCCACUGUAUUAGAUUUAAAAGAUGCCUUCUUCUGCAUUCCCUUGGCGAAGGCUUCACAAUUUUUAUUUGCUUUGGAGGACACCGCAGACUCGUCCAUGUGACUGACUUGGACCAUUAUUUGUGUUUUCUUAAGGGGGGUAGUAGUUUCCCACCGGGUUUCACCAUGAAUAGUUAAGGGUCUCCUUAAAUAUUGUGUCACCUUCUAUAGCAGUUGGUUUAAUUCAUCUGUCUUCUAAAUCACAUUGAUUCAAAACCAUCUCUUGGAGGUCUCGUCAUGGCUCAGUGGUUAACGAAUCUGACUAGGAACCAUGAGGUUGCAGGUUUGAUCCCUGGGCUUGCUCAGGGGGUUAAGGAUCCGGCGUUGCCAUGUGCUGUGGUGUAGGUUGCAGAUGCAGCUGGGAAUCCCGCGUUGCUGUGCCACCGGCCUCUACCACAGCCACAGCCACGCGGGAUCCUUAACCCACUGAGCGAGACCUGGACAGAACCUGUGUCCUCAGGGAUGCGAGUCAGAUUCGUUUCUCCUGAGCAAUGAUGGGAACUUCUCCGUGUUUUUUCCUGGAGAUCAGGUGGAAACAUUUAGAAUCCAUGUGAAUUUAAUCCUGUCGUGUAGACUAAUGUCCUUCACGUUUUUUCGUCUUGAACAAGAGCCAUUGGUUUGUCAGGACAAUUUGAUGAGUUUUGUUUCCCUUUCACAACCGUGUGUCUACCACGCAAUCAGAACGUAGACCGUUUUCUUGGCUCCACCUCAUGGUCCUUUACAGGCAGUGCCCCCGUAUCCCUCAGCAGCCACUGGUGUGAUUUCUGUCACGAUAGGUUAAUUUUCCUUUUGUAGAACUCAUCAAAGUAGGAUUGUAUCGUGUGUACAUUUUCUUCCCGGCUUCGGCCUGCGUACUGCUUAGGGGCUCAUGCGUGUUGCUGUGAACGUCUGUAGUUCAUUUCUCUUUCUUGCUGGGUCGUGGUCCUCCCCUGUAUGAAUAUAUCAUAAUUUUGUCUAUCCACCCACCCAUCGAUGGACGUAUGGGCUGUUAUCUCAUUGGGGCUGUCAUGAAUAAAAAUGCACACCUAUGAAAACUUAAGACUCUCUUGGGCAAGUACCUAGGAAUGGAAUUGCUGGAUCCUAUAGCAAAUACAUGUUUAACUUUAUAAUAAGUUGCCAAAUUGUUUUUGAAGUGGUAGUAAUGUAUUGAUUUUUGAUUCAUACCUUUUGUAUUGAUUUUGUAGUUCCUGCUAUAACAAAUUACCAUAAAUUUAGUGAUUUGAAACAACACAUAUUUAUUGUUUUAUGGUCCUGGAAGUCUGAAGUACAAAAUGAGUCUUGAGGGUUGGGCAAAGUUGUUGUUGGCGUGGAUUUCCUGAUGGAGGCUCUGAGAGGUGAAUCUGUUUCCUUGCCUCUUCCAGCUUCUAGUGGUUGCGUACAUGCCUUGACUCACAAUCACCGUCCUACCUCUGUCUUUACAUCCUCCACUUUCCCUUCCAUCUCCUGCUGUCUUCUUCUAAGGACCCUAUGAUGACACCAGAUUUACCUGGAUAAUCCGUGAAAAUUUCUCGUCUCAAGAUGCCUAAAUUAAUCAUGUGUACUGAGUCCCUUUUGAUGUGUAAGGCCACAGAUUCUAGGAAUUAGGACCUAGACAUCUUGCUGGGCCAUUAUUCAGCCUACCAUACUCUCUAGCCUUCUAACCAAGUAAUUGCGAACAAAAUUUCUCCUUUACCCCAAACUUUAAGGUGCAUGCACAUUUUUUGCGUAACUUCCCUUGACUCAAUAACUGUUAGUAUUCGUGAGUUGGCAAAGAUGUAGGAUGUAGAAUCAGAGGAUCUUUAGGUCACUUAAAGGGGAUGAAAGUCCAAUUAGUCGAUGGGGAGAGUGCUAUCUAAGAGGGACCUGCUGGAGCUUUGGUGGCAACAGAAAGGGCCCUGCUUAUUUCCAUUCUUUGGAGUCUAAACCUCGUGGGGGGGCGGGGGAGAAAGUUCAGUCGAGUGUGUGGGGAUCUCACAGCAGAUGCGAGAGUGGUGUUGCCCCAGGGUACAGCCUUCAGGAUGCGAGUUACGGAGAAGCUCACAGGGCAGCAGUAUUCCUGAGUGGUGCAUUGACCCGCCGAAGACGACCCUAGUGGGGGAGACUCGGGCGAGGGGUAGACCAGUAAUCCUACGGGGAAAGAGGCUUAUCCACUGCUAACUAGAGGCAAUGACAGGAUAGACUAGGCUCCCAAGUUAGGACAGACAUCAAGAGACAAAGCAGUGCUCAAAGGCAAAAUGAACCGAACACAGCGUUGGCUAGUGAGAAUGGAGGCUCGCAUGCUUCAUAGACGUUCCUGGCCUGAUACUAGAGACAGAGUGUGGGCCUCGUAAAACUUCGACUCUCUGGGCAGAGAGGACAAGGAGAAAAGCGUGAGAUAAUAGAUCAUUAAACCGAAAGAGAUUGCGGUAUGUCUGGAAAUGACUGAGCCACCUUGAGUUAGGAAGAUGAGGCUUUCCAUUAGAGUGAACUUGAAAGCUAUGCGGAAAACCAUCAGUAGAAAAAUGAAAAGGUGCAUUUUAGCAAACCUGACUUUUGUUGCCUGAGAGCUUCAUGCUCCUUUUACAGAGAGAACGUAUAUAAAAAUACUGUGAUAAAGAUAAUGCAUUUACCAGACCUACUGAAGACUCUCUGGCGGAAGUAUUUGCUCCUCAAGAUUUCAGAUUUUUUUGUUCUUCGGCCCACGAGGAAGGUUAUCCCUCGAGAUUUUCGUCGAGGGUAGUCUUAGAGGUUGCCUUUCUGUCCCCGGUCGAGAAGACGAUAAGAGGUAGCACAUGGGUGAAGAGCUAAUGCAGAGUUCGACUCACGUGAAAGAUCUUUUUUCUUUUCCAUUUUUUAAAUGGAAAACCACGGUCUCUUAACUGCAGCUCGUUUCCUUUCCUAUAAUAUCAUAUACAUUGUCUUCCAUUUUUUGAGUUCUUCUGUCUUACCUCAGCUCCUGUAAGACGACAGUAUCAGGAGAUGAUGAAAAGGAGGCACUUGGAUCUUCCAGUUACACAAAGAAAAAGGCAGGAUUAGGUGUCCGACUGGUUGUUAAUAAUAACUUGAAAAUGUGAGUGCCACUGGGCUGUGAGUAUUUUCUGAAGUUCAUCAUUUUGGCAAUUUAAUGUGAGAUAUUUUAUAGGGAAGGGGCACUUGGAGAAGAAGCGGCUCUAACUCCAUCUCGUGUUGGUGGUAAUCACGUUUGUCACUCACCUGCUUGGACCGCUAAACCCUUCAGGAGCCUGAUUGUAGCAGCCUCCUGUUAAGUGGAAAAAAGUCUUCCCUGCUUCUUAGCAAAUCAUGGUAAACAUGUCAACACAUUAUGGGAUGUGGUACACUUUUGAAUAUGUGAACAUCUGAUGAAGAGAUCUUUUUGAUCGGAACUUUUAUGUUGGUUCAAUAGGCAGGACUAGUUAUCUGCUUUGUUUACUUGUAGGUAUCUGAGACAGUUAUACACACAUGCUGGAAUUUAGGGUCAGCUCUCUGUGAAAAAAAUGGAAGCACAUUUAACGCAUGGGCUCUUGAAUCUCCUCCACCCCUCCUAGUAUUUUUAAAUGGGAGGUCCUGCCUCUAGGAUGGUGCCUAGAUAUUCUAAAAUAGAUACACUAAAUCCAGUACAAAAUGUGGUUAGAUUUUUUUUUUCCCUGGGUGUUUGCAGCACAUUUGUACAAGUUGUGAAAAGACUUGUUUUGCUGAAUUUUCAUUAGCACAUUCUUAGUGAGAUAGUAACAUUCAAUAUCACUGACAAAUAUAUUGGACAUCUCUAGUAAAAGUUUUUCUAAUUAUUGGAUUUGUAGAUACUCAGGUGUUGGCAGAAAUUCUAAAUAUGGAUAAUUUAAAGAAUCGGACUAUUACUGUUAUGACCCUAAUAUUCCAACUAAUAGUAACCACAGCUACACUUUCUGAGCACUCACCAUGUUCCAGGAAUUGUUCACGGUGCUUUUCCUACGUUACCUAAUUAAUCACAACAACCCUAUUAAGUAAGUACUACUGUUAUCCUCAUUUUAAAGAAACUGAGGCACUGAGAAGUUAACUCCUUUGCCCCAGGUUGUGUAACUAGUGAGUGGUGAAGCUGCAGUGUGAAUGAAAUCAGUGAAACUCUAUAACCGGUACUCUUUUUUUUUAAAAAAAUUUUAAAUUGAAAUAUAGUUGAUUUACAAUGUGUUAAUUUCUGCUGCACAGCAAAGUGAUUGAUUUAUGCAUAGAAACAUUCUUUAAAGAUUUUUUUCCAUUAUGGUUUAUCGUAGGACGUUGAAUGUAGUUGCCUGGGUCGUACAGUAGGACUUUGUUGCUUAUCUACAUAUAGCUAUGUAUAGUAGCUUACCUGGACUAACCCAGCCUCCUAUCCCCAGCUCCCUCCCCCUUGGCAACCACAAGUCUAUGCUCUGUGUUUUGAGUUGCUUUCUGUUUCAUAGGUAGGUUCAUUCUGGUCAUAUUUUAGAGUCCACAUGUCAGUAAUACUAUAUGGUAUUUGUCUUUCUCUUUCUGAUUUACUUACUUAGUAUAACAAUCUCUAGGUCCAUCAAGGUUACUGCAAAUGGCAUUAUUUUUUAUGGAUGAGUAGUAUUCCAUUAUACACAUGUACCACAUCUUCUUUAUCCAUUCUCCUGUCAAUGAACUUUUAGGGGAGUUCCUCUUUUGGUGCGGUGGGAAUGAAUUCGAGUAGUAUCCAUGAGAAUGCAGGUUCAAUCCCUGGCCUCACUCAGUGGGUCGGAGAUCCAGUGUUGCUGUGAGCUGUGGCGUAGGUGGCAAAUGUGGCUUGGAUCUGGCAUUGCUGUGGCUGAGGCAAAGGCGGACAGCUGUAAUUUUGAGUUGAUCCCUAGCCUGGGAACUUCCAUAUGCUACUGGUGUGGCCCNAAAAAAAAAAAAAAAAAAAAAAAAAAAAAAAA